rnacentral:rRNA from 1 species
CCUACGGGCGGCAGCAGUGAGGAAUAUUGGUCAAUGGGCGCGAGCCUGAACCAGCCAAGUAGCGUGAAGGAUGACUGCCCUACGGGUUGUAAACUUCUUUUAUAAAGGAAUAAAGUGAGGCACGUGUGCCUUUUUGUAUGUACCUUAUGAAUAAGGAUCGGCUAACUUCGUGCCAGCAGCCGCGGUAACACGGAGGAACCGAGCGUUAUCCGGCUUUAUUGGGUUUAAAGGGAGCGUAGAUGGGUUGUUAAGUCAGGUGUGAAAGUUUGCGGCUCAACCGUAAAAUUGCAAUUGAUACUGGCAGGCUUGAGUACAGUUGAGGUAGGCGGAAUUCGUGGUGUAGCGGUGAAAUGCUUAGAUAUCACGAAGAACUCCGAUUGCGAAGGCAGCUUACUAAACUGCCACUGACAUUGAUGCUCGAAAGUGUGGGUAUCAAACAGGAUUAGAUACCCUUGUAGUC